rnacentral:rRNA from 1 species
AUUGAACGCUGGCGGCAGACCUAACACAUGCAAGUAGAGCGAGCGGAGGACGGGUGAGGAAUGGAUGGGGACUGCCCGAUAGAGGGGGAUAAAUACUGGAAACGGUGGCUAAUACAGCAUACUGACGGAUUAACCAUAUGGGAUUAGCUAGUAGGGAAGGUAAUGGCUUACCUAGGCGACGACCCCUAGUUGGUCUGAGAGGAUGAUCAGCCACACUGGGACGUAUAAACGGCCCAGACUGCUACGGAGGCAGCAGUGGGGAAUAUUUCACAAUGGGCGAAAUCCUGAUGCAGCCAUGCCUGGUGUAUGAAGAAGGCCCUAGGGUUGUAAAGUACUUUCAGUCGUGAGGCGUUACCGACAGAAGAAGCACCGGCUAACUCUGUGCCAGAAGCCGCGGUAAUAC